AAGAACAUUUUUUACAUGAUUAAGAUUAUUAUUGUUUUAACAAAUGAAUACGAUCAGAUAUUAUUUCUCAGAUCAGAAUCAACUAAUUAAAUGCCGUUUCAAAUUAUAUGGUGAAAUAAUAAAAUACAAUGGAAAGUGCAUGAUUUUUGAUUGGCCGAUUGACUCUGAAAACUAGCUAUUCACAAGCGACAACUUGCUUCUGAAUGGUCAUUUCAAGUAAUUGACAGUUGCCGUUGCCAAUGCUCAUCCAUAUCCUGUCUGGCUAAAGAUCCUACUGUAGGACUGUAGAGCUACAAAUGAGCAACGGACAGCGACGUUGAAGAGAACUGUUCAACAUCGAGUGAGCAGAGCGUUGAAGAUUCUUCCUGGUGAUCUGCUGCCCAUCAUCAACAGUGUUUGGGACUUCUGUGUGCUUCUUCUCACUUCCUGCUAUAACAACCAUUCUCCAUUCCACAAAUAUAGCUGUUGUUUCUACUCAUUUGUCAAUUGUGUACAGCAAUCAAGUGCCAAGAGGGUGUGGGUUUUCAUUCAAACAACCACUAUACCAGCUGAUUUUACAAUUGAAUUGCUGCUCUUUAUUAAACGGGAGCCACAAAGUGAAAUCAGAUGGUGUAGUCGUGCUUGGUUACGUAAAUGUUUUUCAAAGUUAUGUAAAUGUUUUUUUAGCACGGUAGGCAAUUUGGUGACAACCUGGCUGGUGUGUCACUGACUAUCCAAUGUUAUCAAUCCAUAUAGCCUCCCUAUUAUAAUUGCACAUCCUCAUUACAAUUUCCAGAGGGCUUCUCUCAUAAGCUCCGCUAAGGAUAUCCCUCCUGGAAUAUGCACAUUCAUGUUUGUUAGUUCAGACUGUCAAUAAAUCUGCCAUCUUACAAGUUUAAUGCAGUUGACUGGCUUGAUAUUGCACAGGUUUUGCAUCCCUUAUGUAAGAGCCAUUUUCAUUGGUUUAUAUUUCGCAUCAAUUUGCACACACCGCAACACUCAUGGGAAUGUAAAAAUGUUUGUUGAUGGAGCUUGAUGGACACAUGUACUUGCAUGUUCAAUGGAAGAACAUUGUGAUCAAUAAAGGGCCAUCAAAACACGGA